GAGGGUCACCUAGACCUCCUACUGCUCUUAACCAACCCGCGUACUUGCCGGAAAUUCAUGUCUCUGCCUCGGCAGCGGCCCCAGGGGGGGCCAGCAGCCCGCCAUAGGCGGGUGCUGCCGGCGGCGCAUAAACCAUACAACAUUGAAAAAUACACUUACAAACCAUUA
rnacentral:misc_RNA from 2 species